GCUGGGGUUGGGUUUUUACUUUGGUCUGAUGGUGAGCGGAUGAGGAGGUUAGCUACCGUACGGGAUGGACGGGUAUGGGAUUCUGUUGGUUUUAUACGAGAUGUCUUUCCCGGUUGAGUUAUGUCAUGAUGACCUCUUUUUGUUUUCGAUGUUUCGCUCCCUCCUUUUCCUUCUUUUUCUUUUUCUCUCCAUCUAGACGAUGACAACGCUCGUUACUUUUCCGUGGAUACCUUGAUCCUUUCCACUAGAUAUCUACAGUAUCAAUGCCAGGAUUCCUUGCUAUUACUUUCAAACAAAUGCCUUAUUUAGCCCG
rnacentral:sRNA from 1 species